AUUCCAUGAUGGGGACAUUCUAGGAUAUAGUCUUAAAAGCGCUCCCAUGCUUCUGGAACAGAUUCAUCAUUUUGUUGCUGAAAACUUGUAAUCUUCCCACGGAGAGC
rnacentral:snoRNA from 1 species